AUGGUUAUAAUGGGAAUUAUGUUGGUUGUAAUGGUCACAGUAAUGGUCCCUGUGGGUCUCUAUUGGUAAAUUGCUUUCUUCUAUUGGUGGUAUGUAUUGUCUUGGAUUGCCACCAUACGUCAUUUGGAAAGGUUAUUUUUAAUUCAUUUAAUUUUUUUUUUUUUUUUUUUUUUUUUUUUUAAAUCAACUCGACUGGUCAUGGCCUUCAAAAUUGACUUGAAAAGUUGGUCUUUGUUUUGUCUGUCGGAUUUGGUCCAAAUUUAGCCCAAAAAUAGAUGUGAAAUAACAGUGAAAUUCUGCGUGACUUCCACGUGCUGUAAUGUGCGCGCACGCAGAACUGGAGCGGAGGACGUCACCAUGGAAACGAGGCGGCAGCCCAACCGUCAAGCAGCUGAUCGCUGACACUCAAUGUGGUUUCACUUUUUUUUUUAGAAAUGGUUUAGCGUCGUCAGAAAAAGUCCGUUAGCAUCUCAAAGAAGUGCCAGAAAAAAACCUCUAUGACGCAGGAGAAGUUCCUGAUUUUAACAUUUCUGAAGGGAGCUGCUGACAGAGAGGAUGAAAACAUACACAUUUUGAUGUCCACGCUGUAGGAGCAUUACUAAAUAAUGCUUAUGUUCCUAGGUUCUUCCAUGCUGAUGGCUGUGCUCUAGUCAUAUCUCCUGUCGAAGAACAUUUUUAGACAUUAUGAACCAUGAAUAAGUUUAGCUCCAACCCCAGUUAAGCAGACCUGAGCAGCUGAUCAAGGAUCAGCAGAAACUCUGCAGAACGGUGGUCCUCCAGCCCAGGACUGGACACCAGUGUUAGUGUCUGUCUCAGAAGCUGAAGAAAAAAGGUCACACCUUAUAGGAAAUAAACGCCUCCUAAGUGUAUGGAAAUACCUGGCUGAGGAGAUCAGUGACAUAAACCAGAUAAAACUGUCAGUGGUCUGAGACAGCUACAAGCCACAAAAACAGUUCAUAGUUCCUGCAUUUCUAUAAUGCAUUAAUGAAUAACAAUAAUUAAAAUAAAAUGUAAUGUCAAGGUUUUGUGUUAAUUCCAGCUAUGUUGAGUAUUCUGUGAAUAAUUUUGAUUUUAGGUGCAUAUUCUUAAUUCUUUGCAAAACAACCUGAACUGUUUGCUAUUGAAAGGUUGGUAUGAAGUUUAAAUAAAUAAAAACAUUAUAUUCUUGACAAAAC